UGAAAGUCUAAGCUGCUUUGGAAGGAGUGAGUAACUCUGACUUUGAGAAGUGUCUGAGCUGAGGAAAGGUGGAACUGUGGCUUGGAGAGGAUCAGCAGAGGUAAAAUUUGAAGAGGGGGAACUCAGUGUAGUGGGAUAAUUUGGCAUCAAGAUUCAGAUCCAACUGAAGAUGACCAGAAACCAAUGACAGGACAUCCUUUAUUGCUUCUCCUGCUGCAAUUUAUUUCCAACAUUGCCUUGUGUUCAACUGAGGGGAGAUGAACAGCUGGCCAUCAACCUCCCUAGCAGAUUGGUAACUUGUCUUGAAAGUGCCAGAGGACAGAUUUCACAGGCUCCAAAAUCCUGACAAGUGUUCAGCUACAAUUGUAUACCUCAGCUGGGUAGAUCUUUCACCUGGCUACUGAAUUAACCCAAAUAUGGAUAAGGUUUUCUUUCA